rnacentral:rRNA from 1 species
UACGUAGGGGGCGAGCGUUGUCCGGAUUUAUUGGGCGUAAAGAGCGUGUAGGCGGCCAGGUAGGUCUGCUGUGAAAACUCGAGGCUCAACCUCGAGACGUCGGCGGAAACCAUCUGGCUAGAGUCCGGAAGAGGAGAGUGGAAUUCCUGGUGUAGCGGUGAAAUGCGCAGAUAUCAGGAAGAACACCGGUGGUGUAAACGGCUUUCUGGACCAUAACUGACGCUGAUGCACGAAAGCGUGGGUAGCAAACAGG